AUUGAACGCUGGCGGCAGGCCUAACACAUGCAAGUCGAGCGGCAGAGAGAAGCUUGCUUCUCUUGAGAGCGGCGGACGGGUGAGUAAUGCCUAGGAAUCUGCCUGGUAGUGGGGGAUAACGUUCGGAAACGGACGCUAAUACCGCAUACGUCCUACGGGAGAAAGCAGGGGACCUUCGGGCCUUGCGCUAUCAGAUGAGCCUAGGUCGGAUUAGCUAGUUGGUGGGGUAAUGGCUCACCAAGGCGACGAUCCGUAACUGGUCUGAGAGGAUGAUCAGUCACACUGGAACUGAGACACGGUCCAGACUCCUACGGGAGGCAGCAGUGGGGAAUAUUGGACAAUGGGCGAAAGCCUGAUCCAGCCAUGCCGCGUGUGUGAAGAAGGUCUUCGGAUUGUAAAGCACUUUAAGUUGGGAGGAAGGGCAGUAAAUUAAUACUUUGCUGUUUUGACGUUACCGACAGAAUAAGCACCGGCUAACUCUGUGCCAGCAGCCGCCGCCG
rnacentral:rRNA from 1 species